rnacentral:rRNA from 1 species
GCGUGCCUAAUACAUGCAAGUCGAGCGAGCUGAAUUCAAAGAUUCCUUCGGGAUGAUUUGUUGGACGCUAGCGGCGGAUGGGUGAGUAACACGUGGGCAAUCUGCCCUAAAGACUGGGAUACCACUUGGAAACAGGUGCUAAUACCGGAUAACAACAUGAAUCGCAUGAUUCAAGUUUGAAAGGCGGCGCAAGCUGUCACUUUAGGAUGAGCCCGCGGCGCAUUAGCUAGUUGGUGGGGUAAAGGCCUACCAAGGCAAUGAUGCGUAGCCGAGUUGAGAGACUGAUCGGCCACAUUGGGACUGAGACACGGCCCAAACUCCUACGGGAGGCAGCAGUAGGGAAUCUUCCACAAUGGACGCAAGUCUGAUGGAGCAACGCCGCGUGAGUGAAGAAGGUUUUCGGAUCGUAAAGCUCUGUUGUUGGUGAAGAAGGAUAGAGGCAGUAACUGGUCUUUAUUUGACGGUAAUCAACCAGAAAGUCACGGCUAACUACGUGCCAGCAGCCGCGGUAAUACGUAGGUGGCAAGCGUUGUCCGGAUUUAUUGGGCGUA